CCGGCGACCGGCGCACGGGUGAGUAACACGUAUGCAACCUGGCCGUGACAGAUGGAUAACCGGGAGAAAUCCCGCCUAAUACAACAUAAUGCCGGGAGGGACAUCCCCUGCCGGUCAAAGGGGGCGACCCCGGUCAUGGAUGGGCAUGCGGCGCAUUAGGUAGUUGGUGGGGCAACGGCCCACCAAGCCGACGAUGCGUAGGGGUUCUGAGAGGAAGGUCCCCCACAUUGGAACUGAGACACGGUCCAAACUCCUACGGAAGGCAGCAG
rnacentral:rRNA from 1 species